UACGGAGGGGGCUAGCGUUGUUCGGAAUUACUGGGCGUAAAGGGAGCGUAGGCGGGUCGUUUAGUCAGAGGUGAAAUCCCGGGGCUCAACCUCGGAACUGCCUUUGAUACUGGCGACCUUGAGUAUGGGAGAGGUGAGUGGAACUCCGAGUGUAGAGGUGAAAUUCGUAGAUAUUCGGAAGAACACCAGUGGCGAAGGCGACUCACUGGCCCAUUACUGACGCUGAGGCUCGAAAGCGUGGGGAGCAAACAGG
rnacentral:rRNA from 1 species